CUGCUCCCGAGCCUCCAGCAGAAGGGGCUGGGGAAUUGACCCCUGCAAGGAGCCGUGGUGAUGCCAGCUGGACCCAGCUCUGGGCCUGCGUGAGGCUCCUGUGGUGCAAAGUUUACAGCUGAAUUUAAGACACUGAGGCUUUUAUCUAUUACCAAAUUCCCUGAAUACCCUGAACACAGGAAGUCUCAAAGCAGAAGGAGUUGGUCCUAAGUGGUUUAAGACUGAUUUCCCUCUCCCAGCUUACAGAGAGAUGUUCAGGCAUCUCAAAUCUGAGCUGCCCUCUGUACCUGCGCUUCUCACUGAAUAAAGGAACAUGAUUCUC